CCUCUUUCCCGGUUUCAAACCUCCAAGCCCCUCCUAGAAAUCACCCGUUUUCCUCCCGAUGUCCCUGCCUUGCUGUUCUCAGCAUUUGCAAGGUUGCCCACAGUCUGAGAGUGGGGUGCUCAGCGCUGGGAGUAGUGGCUCUUCUGUUUACCAAAUUGGAGAAUUCUGGAAAAAAAUGUGCACCUCCCAUCGUGACUUAACUGUGGGCAAAAUCGAGCCAGGAAUCAGCUCUGGUAGAAUUUAGAAUUCUGUCUCCUAAAGAUCAAACUAAAAUGAAAAUUCCAGAAAGCCGGCAAAAGACCGAAAAAGAAAACUUAAUCUGGAAUACGCUUGGUCCUGAGAAGCUCUGUGUGCUAACUCACCUGCAUGCUGUGGGCAAGGUAGGUUUCGGCAAAUGAGUUCCCUUUUGUACCACACUUUCAGACAGGAAAGUCACAGAAGCCUGACAGGUUAGUAAGAGGCUAGGAAAGUAGAAACGUGUUUUACACAGCUAAAACCAACCCAUUAACUCCCCUGCUAAACAAAGGAAUAAAACAGUACGUUAAACCCAUACUGAAGGAAAAUGGCCGAGUGGCGCCACCUGGUGUCUAUUUUCUUUUACAACAGCGGGUGAUUCCUGCGCCCUCUGGUGGUGCUACGCAACCCGUCUACGAUGCCUGUUUUGGCUUUGUGCUGGUUGCACAGGUUAAAACAGUCCCUUGGUGUGUCUGCUGAGCAAGAUUAACCUGCAGUCACCAUAUCCAAAACAGAACAACCGAAAACAUGCCAUUUCUCAUUUAUUGCAGAACAGUCUUCCUUUUGAUGCAUUUCAGACGAUCCCUAACCUUUAGAAUCUAAAUAAUGACGUUUGUAAAGCUCUCUGCUCAAAAAAAAAAAAAAAUCUAUUAAGGAGUUUGAUUCUUUUAGUUCAGUACCCAUAUUAACUUUUACUUAAUUUUUAAAUAUAAAAUAAACUUUGAUUUCAAAAAAUGGACAAUAGAGGAUUUGACUCAGAAAUGAGUCCCAUUCCCACAUGCCUCAGUUUACCUAAGUAAUGAGGAUUAUUUUGGUCUACCUUCCUUCUUGUGAGGGAGGGAGGAAGAACAAAUAAGAUGACUGUUUAUGGAAGCCACAGGGAAGUGGAACAGGCAUUAUUUGUCCAAAACAGAGGUGCUAUGGUGUGGGGAUAUUUUUUAAUAACCGAGUUUGGUUCCAGCCCAAAUAUCUAUGGCUCCAGAUUUCUUAAUUGGUUAAUGGUGGAAAAGCCGAUGAAUGGGGAAAUUAAAAGUCCUGGUGUGGUGCCAAGGUUUACCGUGAGACACAUCGUUCACGUGAACAUGCUACAUCUUCCAUAAGACGAGGAUGUGGCCACAAUGCCCGCUCUGCCAAAUCCCUUGGCCCUUUUGCCAUUUGGUCAUCUGUCUCUGGAAUGUUACAUCCUGACAGACUAACCGGGGAAGCCUGGUAUUUCCAAAUCGCCUCUGGGUUACUGUGAGUCUAAUCACAGUUUCCUCUGAUUAAAGGCUUAAACUAGCUACUCCUGGCCACCCUUCUCCCCAGCAUCGAUUACAACUGCUCUAAGAUAGCGUUUUCCACACGUUCUGUGCUCAGGGUCCUUCUGCCCAUGCAGUGAAACUCCAAACAGGCAGGACAGGCAGAAUUCAGAUUUUGUUACACGCCAUAUAUCUCUCUGCCUUCAUGUCCUCAUCUGUGAAAUGGGUACCCUAUUAGUGGCUAUCUCAGACUGAGGCAUACACUGGGGAUCUCUGCCCCCGACACUGAGUAGCUAUUACUCUUCCCGGCACACGCUCUAGAGUUCAAGCCGCUUCUGAAUUUGACCCCAGUGUUCUCCUUGCUGUUCCUUUUCUAUUCUCUAGCCGACCAACAUGCAUUCUUUCGACCACCACCCCAGCCCAACAUGCAAAUUCGUUCCGAUCCCCAUCCCAAACACGGAGUUCAAUAUAUGCUGGUUUAAAUUUAAAAAUGCACACAAUUCACAAAGGGUGUGCACACCACCAGCCUGUAUUUUAUUUCUGAUCCGGUACUGAGUACGUUCUGUGAACUGCAUACAGUUAUCACUAAAUAGACUCCAUGUUGGAGGAUCUUGCCUGGCUACUGAUAUUUCAUAGUUUCAUUUACAAACAUAAUUUUGAUUCGCUGUAUUUUCAAUUUACAAUGGUUACAUUGGAGCCAUAGUCCCAUUAGAAACCAAGGAGCAUCUGUACUUGUAAAUACCUCCUUCAGGCCUCAGCCAUAGCGGUUCCUUAAAAAAAUAGCGGUUCCUUAAAAACAAAAAAGAAAGAAAGAAAGAAAUCCACUUUUUCCUCUCUAGUGACCCCUGGUGGUUAACGUGGAAAUGAAAAUGACAAACAGUGUUAGCAGUGGAUACUGUUCUCAAUGGCAUUUUGACACCACCUGUGUCUUAGACAAUGUCCUCCUGUUUCCCUCACACUGCUGCCUCCCAUACCUACGCUGGGCCCCCUCUCACACUGCUACCCAUUCCAUAGCCGCUGGCUAUGUGCAUCUACUGAGUGCCUAGCGUGUGUCUGGUUCAAACGAUACCAUCUUGAGAAAUCCAUGCAGAUUUUAAAGACAUUACAUAGAGAGAUCGAUAAAACAUGAAAUGUAUACUUUAUCAUUUAACUUGUAUUGAUUAUAUCCUGAAAUGAUACACCAUCUGUGUCUCACAGGGGUCUUAUCACUAGAGAUGUGUACAGGCUCAUGACCCAAUCACUGGGAAAUCUACCAUGUUCCUAUAAUAUUUCCUUUCCUGUGACACUUCUAGUCUGUAACACAGGGUCUGGCUAUGUCAGCCCAGGCUGCACUAGAACAGAGCAGAGGUGUACAGAGCUACCCCCUCCUCCUCCCAAGCUGGGGUUAAAACUAGUGCCCUGUGCAUGAUAUGGAAGAGUCCCAGCCACUGCCUGCUCUUCUAAAAAUAAUUUGAGAUGAGAUCUCAUUAGAUUGACCAGAAUCAGCCUGACCUCACUUUGUAGCCCAAUCCGGCCUAAAAUUGAAGCUCCUCCUGUCUCGGUCUUCUGGUGAGCUGAGAUUAUAGGCCUACACCACCAAGCUCAUGGCUUUGUUAUUUGUUGGUUAGUUUGCUCACUGGGCAUUCCAUAUAUGUAUAGAAUGUAUUCUGAGUACCUUGUUCACCAACCUUCUCUUAUCUGCCACCCAUACACGCCACUUCCCCCGGUCAUUAAUUCUGCUGGUCCCAUUUGCAGGCUCAUGACUUUUGGGCUAGCCUGGUAAUCGUCUUUACUUUAACCUGUGUCAUCUGCAUGAGCAUUGGAUUGAGCUAUCCACCUGAUCCCAGCAGUGAAUGGCAGCACAGCUGAAGGGAAGGACUCCCCUCUCCCUGAAUCUAUGAGUAGCAAGUGGCUUAGCAGUUAAGAGGUGAAACUCUCUUCUGCCCAUGCCUGCCUUUUGACUGGUCCAUUCUUGGCUACAGUGAGCUUGUGACUGCAAUAGCAGUGCCUUGCCCAGAAGAUGGCAUUUCACAGCCUUUCUCCCUCCAUGUGGCUCUUAUAUUCCUCCUCUCCUCUCUCUUCCAGCGUUCUGUGAACUUGAGAGGAAGCAGUGUGCACGCCUUGCUUAGGGUCUGACCAACCAUCUGUCACCCAAGCUUGGCACGUUGUGCAGCCUUGAAUCUCUGCAUCUGUUGCUGGAGAGAGAAGCUUCUCGGAUUAAACCUGAGGGGGGCUUUUGUCUGUGGAUAUAAACAUGAACAGGACAGGUCAAUGUUACGUCAGUUCAGCUAAACAAUGUAUGCAGUUCCCCUCUGGGGCAUAGGUUUCUGACCAGGUUUCCAGGCAUGGACUCUCUCUUGUGGAGCAGGCUCUAAGUCCAACGAGAGAGCACUUGGCUACCUCCAUAAUAGGAGUGCCAGUAUUGCAAUCUUGCCCAGAAGGUUGAUCUUGUAGUUCAUCGUUUUCACAUCUAGAGAAGAGUUUUGAUGACGUUUCCCCUAGCAGCCUGCACAGCACUGUUUGGACAACAAAAUCUAGCUGGCCGGAAUGACAGCCUCAUUUUCAACGGCUGUAUAAGUGUUGUGUUUAUGGAUAUACAUUCUCUACUCAAAUGAUCUGUGAAUAAGCCAUUGAGUAAGCACAGUUGAAGAUAAUACUUCAAAGCACCCUUCGCUGUUUCCGUGGCUACAUUACCAGCUUCUGGCAAUGACAGAAAAGACAGUCUUAAUUGUGUGAGCAGCGUCCUUGGUGAAUUCAGCUAUUUCUCUUUGUUCCUUCUCCUCAUUCAUCCGUGAGGAGGAGUCCACAGGAGGAUUCUGACAUUCAGAGUACAACUGCAAGGUAGAGUGAGUCGGGGCGCUUAAAUCGCAUAAGGAAGUUAACCUUUCACCUCGAACUAUGUCCUAAGUUAAGAAUAAGUAGUGGCCGCAUUAAGCCACGCGUGAUGCUUUUAAAGAUUUGUUUUAUUAUUUACGUGUGUAUGUUGUCUGUCUGUGUGCACACACGGACAUGCAGUGCUCUCAGAAGCCAGAAGAGGGCAUCAGAUCCCCUGCUGCUAGGGCUCUAAGUAGUCAUGAGCUGCCUGUGACAUGAGAGCUAGGAAUCAAACUUGGGUCCCCUGGAGGAGCAGUGUACCUCUGAGCUAUCUCUCUAGUCCCUGAUGUGAGGCGUUAUUUAUAAAGUCAAGCUAAUGGCAAUUACCUUAAAUGAUAUUCGAUAUUUGGUUAAUAGCCAUGCUUUUUGACGUGAGUUCCUAGAAGCUGAACUGCAAAGUCAAAGGGUAUAUAUGUUUUUUAUGACUUUUAAAAAUUACAGGCCAGAUUUUAUUGAGGCAUUGAACAGUCUUUUUACUCUUACAUUCCUUACAUGAGGAGUCAUGUAAGGCAUUGAAGGUGGAUUACUUCUGGGUACCUUGAUGAGAGUCCUAUACUGAUGAAUGAUUCUGCUCACGGAGUUUGCAAAAGAAGAUGGCGCAUUUUAGGAAUGGAGACUUUAAAAAACCACAUGAGCUGUGUAGGCACUUUCAAGAAAUAAGGAUUAUAGAAAAGGGAGCAGCAAAUAGCACGUGUGUGCCUGGGCAGAACUUCAGAGUUGAAGGGCGUUGUGACAGGGACGCUCUGGUCCAGCCAGUCCGUCUGGGAUAUAACUCACACUGCGACGGGCCACUUGGACGGGCUGCACCUUAGAAUUCAUCUGUGGGUUCUCUCUGUAAAUCUCACUGCAUACAGCUGAGCCAGGCCAUUCUCAUCCUUCACAAACCACUGCCUUUCGUUUGAUAACUACAUUUGGUCCUUUAAGAGACACAGAUGUGAGAUGUGGAUGGGGUGCGGAUAAGACCACGAAACUUUUAAGAUUCCUCCCAACCCUCAGACUCCCGGAUAAGAGGCUCUGCAAGGAAGCGAGAGAGGUGGCCUGGUGCAUGCCUCUGCUCUGGGAGGGAUCACAGUGGCCUGCAAGCCACAUUGCAAUCAAUCCGCAGGGAGCUGGGCUCUCUGGAAGCUGAAGCAAAGUGUCUCUCCCCCUUUCGCUACAGUUCUUUCAUGUUAUGCCCUAACUAAAUCCAGAAUCCUUUUCAAUGAGGAAGGCAGAAGUGGAAUGUGUAGCUAAGCCUUGUGCCUGUUGGAUUAGCCAAGGGAAGAUGGGCUCUGGAAGCAGAGAGCUGUAACCCAAUGCGUUUUCUUUCCUUUUUCUUUAAAAAAAAUAUUCGGACUUUUCUGCUCUUCUGUGGUUCUAUGGUUAUCCUGCAGCUGUAAACCCAUCACCUUCACAGAGUUCUAGGUACGUGGUGGCGUCCAAUAGAUUCUUUUGAAAUCUAUUGUGUAUAUGUAUAUAUGUGUAUAAAUAGUAUAUUUGCACAUAAAGUAUAUUUACACACAUGCAUAUGUGUAUAUAAAUAUAUAAAUACACACACACACACACACACACACACACACACACACACCUGCAUAUCAACUGCUCCCCCAGAAGGCCAUCUGAGCGUAAACAAAGCAGUAGAGAUCACAGGGAGCCUAGAAACUGCCUGACAGUUAGAGGGUGAUCAAAUACAGUAAAAGCAAUAAAUCUUUUAUGGGGAAGUGCUAUUUCUCCUACCACCCUGGGAGGCCAAAGUUUAUUAACUACCUAUAUGUUAAAUGCAGCCUAGCUCGCCUUCCCCAUCUUCCUCAGCUCAGAAUGUAGGGUUCUAGUUUAUAUCGCCUUACGGUUUUGAGAAACCGAUCUCCGAAAAGAACAGGAAAGCACGCACCGGCACUAGCGUAGACCGUUCGCCUUCUGUUGGGAGUGUCCUUUGCUUUUCUGCCUGAGGUGCGUUUCCUGCCUCUGCAUCCACUUGUGGCGUGAGAAUGUCUGCCUAGAGUUGUAUUGGGUGACACGCUACACACUUGUCCUCCACUGGAUAUUUUGAGUAACGCAGCAAGACUGCUUUCAAUAAUGGAACCGUCCGACGGUGCUGUUUUGUAUUGUGUUCUUCAUGGGUGGUUGGCAAGGGGGGCUUGGUAGGCUAAAAGAACAGAGAGAGAGUAAAAUGUUCCCCCUUUUUAUUAGGGAAGAGUUUUAGUCACAAAAAAAAUAGCAUUGCUGCUUCUGCUGUUGAUGCCACUGGCAACUGUUCCUUCUCUGUGGCACAGCGCCAACAUGGCCCUUGGAGAGGUGGGAUCCAGUCAGCACAGCACUUUUCAAAACGUCUCCUUCCCCAAGGGUGAGCAGAAUUCUCUCAAAUGCUCCCUUCUCUCCCUAUCCUGAAACCUAUUGCUCUCCUGGUCCUUUCUUUGUACCAGAUCCCUUCUUUUUUGGCUCUUGUUAUGCAAGGUACUGGGGGAACGACUGGCCUGAUCAUAAUCUCAGCGAUCGCUGCACAAGGUGUCCAUAACUGGAAUUUCCUCAUUACUUUAAUGUCCUUCUAGUCACAGCUCCAUGGACCUAUUAUGUGUAAAUUAGAAACACAUUAUUCCACCGACAAAGCUUUUCUUUCAAACGCAUAGAAUUUUAUAACCUGUCACAAUCUAUUAAAUCCCGAAUUGUCUCUACUGAAACUGACUUUUUUCUGCACGAAGAUGUCAAAGGAUCUUAAUUUCAGCUAAUUCUGGCACCAAAAUGAGCUCCUCCACUUAAUAGCUGGCACUGGUCUCCACAGCAAAGUGCUUCCAGGGACAAUUGGAAAUUGCAAAAAUAAUAGUAUGUUUCUGUGGUUAGCGUCACCUCUGAAAUGCAGGGCGUUUGCCAGCUCAGGGCUGCUUUGUUCCCUCUUGAAAACUGAAUUUCCUGAAAGCCCUUACAUAUUAAGACAAUUUGACGUAAGGAGACAGGAAGACGGGAACAGAAGGCUGGGAGACAGAAUGCGCAAGACCUGCUCGGAGUUCCAGAAUUCCACAGGGCUCCUUGCAGAUAGGGAGACUUGGCAGACAGGGCUUUGGGGCCUCGUUCUAGUGUGCCCCUCUCUGCGGAGCUGGACACAUGUCUGACUAGUGCUUUUGGGCUUCGUGGUCAUGCCGCCAUCAACUGUCAUAUUCCAAGGAUGAGAUGUACUUGGGCGAGAAAGCCAUUGCUUCCUUCAAAGCCAGCUCAUGAAGCGGAAUGUAAGCUUAGUCCAGCGGUGGGAAUUCUCCCUUAGGCGUCUCCAUUUGAGGCUCUGGCUCUGACUUUGGGUGAUCAUGCCAAGGAAGCACCACUGAGCCAAUCGAGAAGCACUCUGUGGUAGAUGAAGACUUACAGUAAUAGUUACCACGUUAAAGGCUUUCUUUCUCCAGCCAUCUAAUCCUUUAAAAUGUCUGUGGGGUUAACUUAAUUGUUAUUUCUAUUUAUGGAGAGCUGAGACUAAAGAAGGAGAGGGAGCUAAGACUGGACCUCAGGUUACACUUGGCAUCUCCCUGAGAAAGAAGGGGAAAUAAACAUGGAGUCCCUCUAAAAGGGUCUCUCACACUUAAGUCCAUCAAAGAUUAACUUUGAAAAUUCAAACUGUGGGCAUGGUUAAGGUGAGUCUAUAAGUAAAUGUCUGUGGGUGCUGUUCAUUGACUUCAAGACUAAUACAGUUCAAAGCUUUGUUUUUUAAGUUCAAUAGGUCCUUGAGACAGAUGUCUCCAUUUCCUUUGACUGUUACUUAUGACUCUAAAGGUAGAACCCCCGUCCCCUGACCCUCACCCCCGAUGUCAGCUCUUCUCCUGGCCCAGCUGUAUGAAAACAGUUCUCCUGUUCUUCUGGCAGAUUCCUCGCGGUGCUGGAAGGCCAGCAGAAGUCCUGAGUGCUAGGGCUCAACUUCCAAGUUCCUGAAUCCCUCAGCUCCUCUUAGGGUUGGAGAAUUUGCAUUUUGGAACAAAUUCCCAAAUGAUGCUGGUGCCGCUGACUUGAGAAACCACCCAAAGGGUACUGAUAGAACAGGUGUGAGGUUCACCCUCACUACAGAUGGCAGCCAUUUCUUACUGGUCUGUGGCAAGGCAAGUUCAGAAACUGAAAAUACCUCCGUGGAGAUUUUAUAAUAUGACACCGUUGUGACAUCCAUAUAUAUGAUCCGCAGGUACCUGCCACAUGUGUCGGGAGGAGCUGUGGGAGCCCAGAUCUCAUUCUGUGACAGCCUGAAAACCACAAAACUCUAUUCAACCAAGACAGUCUGAGUACAGCCUUCUAAUCAUGAUCCCACAGUAAUGCAUUUUGGGGGAAUAUAAACCCACCAGUGAGAAGGGUUCAGUCUUUCUCAUGCAGUAGCAACGCCUGCGAAGGAAGAAGUGAUAGGUCCUAGGCCCCAGGUAAACACCCAGGGCUAUAGACAUAGACCUAGUGUGAUAUUAUAUAUCAAUGGGGUAGGUCAGCCCAGUGACCAAAGGGCUCAGGUUUCUAAGUGGUUGGAAGACUAGAAGAUGAACUAGAACCGUCAGAAUUUAGGAGGACUGAAGUUGUGUGAGGAUCAGACUGGGUUAGCAGAUGUCCUCCCAAAGGCCUGUAAACAACUCUCAUGUAUAGGCAUCCAGGGAGACAACAGGACAUCCAGGGAGACAACAGGAGAAGCUCUCUAUUGUCAGAGAACCACCUAAGUAAGCCACAGGUCUGAGUAAAAGACUUAGUAUCUAGGCCUGGAAACAUCAGGCUCAGUGGGCAAGCUAGAUCAAGAACCCUUCCAGGCCCCAUGCAGCGCACUCAAGAGGGUAAGGACCAGGAGAAGGGAAGACUUAAAACUAUCAUCUCCUACAAGAGAAAGGAAGGCUUAAAACUAUCCACUAGAUCUCAUUGCUUAAGCUGCCAUUUUGUUUUUAUCUUCUUAUACAUUUUAUUAAAAUUCCCAAGGAUCUCCUUGCUAAUUAUCAGGAGUCAGCUGUUCCCUGCUUUAUAUUACAAGAUCCUCUUGGGCUGGCUGAAAGGAAGCCCAUGUGGAUGGGCCUUUCCCAUGGUUUCAAGGCUUGAUGGAUGUGCCUCAAAUUUACUUUGCUAACUGUCUUUCCAAAUGGAUCUCCUGGUAGCGCUAGGAUUUUACUAGCUGUGAUUUAUUUUUUAAUAUUUCUCACUUCAAGCUCUGAUAAAUCCAGCAUUCUCGCUAAGCACUUGUACAAAUUAGAUUGCAGGCAGAGAAGUUUAGCAUUCUUACAUGUUCAAUACAUCAAGCACUGAACAAUGGCAGAGGUGCUGGGUACGAACAUGUCUGCUCCCUCCUUAAGUCGCUGCUCUGUAAAGCCUCCCUUGACCAGAGCCCUUCUGGGAGAGGUUCUUUGAGACAUACAGAUUCACCUCUACUGUUUCUGCUACCCACAGCCAAUACCACUCCAAAAAUGAUGAAUGGAAAAUUCCAUAAACAAAGACUCCAUACGUUUUAAAUUGUAUACCAUUCCCUGCAAUGUAAUGACAUCUCCCUCCCAGCCCCAACCAGGAGAUGAAUCAUUCCUUCACCUAAUGUAUCCACACUGUAUACAACAUCCACAGGGUAGCCAUUGCAGUCAACCAACACAUUGUCUGAAGUAUCACAGUAUCUGCUCCAAAGUAAACUUAAUCUACUUAGCAACAGGCCUAAGCAGAAGAUGGGCGUAGCUGUGCCAAGAAUAAAACAACUCUGAUUGCUUCCUUCAGGUAAAAGCCAUGCAGAAGCCUGCUUUGCCUGUGGUCCAGUAUGACGCUGGUCCAAUGGCGGCCCUUCUCCCCAGUCCACUGGUUCACUUUCAUCCUGAGACUAAGACCACAGUUCCCUUUAGGGCUGCAUGGUGGCUGCGGAUGGUAGUACGAGCUUUCGGCUUUCUUUUUAGAAACAGGAAGGAGAAAGAAGGGUAUGCCCUGCACGGGUGGGCUGAGAUCCAGGGUAUCUGAACCAAUCACUGUCCAAAGUAUGGUCAGGAGUGGCUCAGACCAAUAAGACUCACUGGAUUUGGAAGUGGACUCAGAGUAUGUUGUACUUGAAGGGAGAGAGGGACAAAUUCUGGGAAGGUGGACAUAGCGUUCAUGAUGCUGCCUUUCUUACAUCUCCUGUAACCUCUCUAAGCCUAUUUUCCCUAACAGACAACCUCUGACUCCGCCACUCUGGAGCUCUGUGCUGGCCUCAGUAAAUGCUCAUUACACCAGAUAAGGAGAAGGUAGGCCAAGGGAGGCACCCACUGCAUGUAGACGCUCUUUCCUUCCAGGAACUUGCUCCAAAUAGGUCCUUUCGCUUUCUGUAGGGUAUGUCUAGAAAAGAGCAACACAAAUCUUUGUUCAGCAAGAUCCCUCACGUGAUGAUCUACCAGGGUAUGAUGUAGCUGGAAAAAAAUAAAAAGGAAACAAUGUAAGCUAAUGUUUCGAAUCCAUGCGAAGAGUGUUUCUUGACUGGGGUUGCAUUUGGUGUUAGAAUGCAUACCAAGCUCGCACAGGGCUCUGGCUGGAAAAAAAAACAGCAAAGAAUACUCCUAAGUAGUGAUGUUCAUGUGUUUAUUACAUUAGUAUACUUAUAUACUUGGAGUGUAAUUAUUGCUAUAUUAAAACAAAAGGGGAAGCGAAGGACAUGAAGGGAGUGGAGGGGAAGUUACAGGAUACAGAGCAUGUGGGGGACUGUAAGGAGAAUUUGACCAGCUGGCAAGCCCUUGGCCUGGGUUUGGUGAUGGCCACUAAGACAUAAGAAACUGAAAUUUUCUAUAAAGGAAAGCCUCUGAUUUAUAAGCAACAAAAUUGUACUUGAACUCAAAUUAUUAUGACUUUGGAUUUUAUUUCCUGUUCCCCUUACUAAAAGCACUUGCAAAGGGGGGACGCCUUCAGUCGCUUAUUAAUCACUUUCUCACCUGUGCCCUCAGUGGGGAUGGUCUGGAAUCCUGCCAUGGUCUCACAUCGUUUCAAGUUUGGGGAAAGAUCCAGGAACCAGGCUUUAGGACUACGUGGGGAGUUUCAGAAGAUCUGGGGACAGAGUUUGUGAAGAGUGAGCCAGGGAUGUUCUCUUUCUGAGAAUGGUGAAGUCACUAACAACAAAGGAAGCCAGCAGUCUGGGCACAGCAUGCUCCAAGUGCCCUUGGGGCACAAGUGUUGCUGCUGUCCCAGGCUUCUCUCCCAUCUGCUCUCCUCCAGAACUCAAUGUAUUCUUUAGAUGGAACCUCCAGGGUCACCUGGUCUCCAUAAUGCUCUUCUGAAGAGGUCAUUGAAGUAGAGGUACUGUGAUCAUUCAAAGUCCUCCUCAUUCAGAGUCUAGACCAGAGGACAUGAAAGGGCUUCGAGGUUGACUCUGUGACUCUGUUGUUUGCUCCAUAGGUGGCUGGCAUGCUGUGGCUUGUGCGGGGUGCUCAGCACACCCGGCAUAUCCACACCUUGUGUCCCUGUGCUCUCAGCGCUCAGACUGGCACCACAGACAGAGCCACAAAAAUGGCACUCUGCAUUAUUAGCCAGGCUUGUCUGAGGUAACCCAGUAUGGCUGAACAAGCUGUUGACAUUUGUGUAAAUGCUUGGGAAAUCAUUCCGACCUGGUUGAAAUAGAGUCACUGUCUUGAUCGCUUAUCCAUUUAUUCUUACAUAGUUGGCCUGGCUUCUACCCAACAAUCUUCUCUCCGUUAAGAUCUCCCCAUGAUAUAAACCCGAGGCUUCCCAGCUCCUGUCCUAGUGCCAUGGUAGCCGUCUGUUUAAUUGAUCUGCAUCUUAGCCAUCCCAGGUGUCAACGUUUGAGUGACAACUACAAAUAAAGGGUAGCCUAUGUGAUUCCUGAGCAUGGAAGAAUGAGGAAGAAAUUUGGAACCAACUAGAAGGUGAGCACAUUUUGGUAGACCAUCUAUCUAGUACUCCCUUGGACCUCUGACUACACGCUACCAUGCUCCCCAGAACUUCCUCCAAAUUAUUCUCCCUCUACCCCAUCCUGCAGUCAUCCUACAUGAGCCCCAAGCCACUACUUUCUUCUGAAGUCAGCCCAAAGUGCCAAGGUAGGUUCUCAAUAUGGAGUACCAAGAGGCCAGGCCUUCAGAAAAUGCACUUCAGUGUCUUCUGUGUGUGUUUAUGAGAAACAAGAGUGAGUGGCCAGGGUCCUUUCCACUGAUGUCUGCAAUACUUUCCUUCAAAACACCUUUGGUUGCAAGGUUAAAAUAACAGUAAUGUUUUAAAUAUUUAGAACCGUCUUGAACAAAAUGGAGCAACCAAAAGAGGCAUUGUCUGGGUCCCAGGCAUGCUUUUGCCUCCCAGUAAUAUCAAGAUGCUUUUCCUACAGGUCCAUGCUGUGCCGUCCUCGACAUGUGGGCCAGCCUCAGCCAGGCCUUUCUGUUGAGAGCUGGUGAGCAGGGUACAACUAUUUUUUAAAUCCAUUUUGGUAUUUGUGGCAUAAGCAAGAGGAGCAUUUUUCCAGAAAGACUCUCAGUUGGGCCAUCCAUCUCAGUCAGAAACAGGUCAGAAGGUCAUCCCAGCCAGUGUCUGACGAAAGUCCUGCAGCCACCACUAUUGGCUUUUUCAAUUGGGAUUUUUCCCUGGAGGUCGGGGGAGAAGGCUCUUGUGUCUCAGGGGCUCUGCCAGAAAGUGAACACCAUGGACAACCGGCAACAUCUGCUAUUAGAACCCACUUGGAAAAAACAACAGAAUUGCAUAUGUGGUGAACAAAGGGCGCAGAAGGAUGUGUUAUCACUAGUAAAGGUUGAAGGGGCUUUUGGAGCAAGAAAGCUAGGGUAGAAUGCUUGUUUUGUUUUUGUUUGUUUUUGUUUUUGUUGCUGAGUAACAACCAUCCCAAAUCUUAGUAGCCUAGAACAAUACCAGGCAUCCUUGUUUAUAGGUUAGGAGAUUCACUGGAUGUCCUGCCAGUGUGGGUGGCCAUGCUCACCAGAAUAUGGUUAGACCAUUGAUUCCCAAACCUCUAUCUCCAAAAAUAUUUACAUUACAAUUCAUAGCAGUAGCAAAAUUACAGCUAUGGAGUAGGAACACUCAACACGAGGAACUGCAUUAAAGGGUUGCAGCGGUAGAAAGGUUGAGAAUCAGUGGUCUAGACUUUCUCAUGAGGCCAGGGGCCCUGGCUGGAAUAGACUGAUCUAUAUUGGGACAGUGCAUAUCUGUUCCACAUGACUUCUCAUCCUCUAGCAGGCCAGACCAGGCUUCUGCACCCAGCAGCCCAAGAGUUCCAAGAGCAUGAGUCAUCUAUGAGUUACACGUGUUAUCUUGAGACCUGAUCACAGAACGAGGACGCUGUCAAGCAAGACGUCAGGCCAGCCAAGAGCUGAGCUGCAGAAAUGACGUUAGAGGCAACUCCUGGGAAGAAUGAAGAGUGGUUAGGCUACUCAGUGGCCUUGGAGAGACGACUCCCUCUGCACCACAAUCCCUUUUACUACUGAAGUAAAACUAACAGAAGCACGCUCCUCAACGCACAGAUUCUUUAAGUAUUUAGCAUGAUGCCAGGCACACUGUAAGCAUUAGCUUUCCAUUUGCUUGUUUUUAUGACCAGAACCAAGACUGUUGAUUGUCAUUACUAAGUUUGGUGAUGAUUGUGAUAAUGUUGAGGCUCUCUCUGCUGGGUGAUGAUUCUCCCGGGAUAUGAGCCUCCAAAUAAUCAGGACUUGCUGGCAACUCGGGUUGGCUCCCCAGCAGCUGCUGAUCAGAACAGGCUGGCUCUACUCCCUACCACCCCCCAGGCCAUUUGGUGAGGACCAUUCUCCUCGGGCUGCUUGCCUCUUCUCUGUGUGCCUAGAGUACCUCUCCAGGAAAACCUUGCAGUGAAGCUUUGUACUGUGAUUGCAGCUAACUCUGGCCAGCACAGCCUCCAGAAGCAAGGGGGCUGGCAUCCUUCACCGGAGAGCCAGAUUGAUAUUCCUUUCCACUGUCCUACCUGUGCCCAGGGCAGAACUCGCAACACAAGGACACAAUUCAGGGUUGCCAGAGUAGGUGGCAAGCGAUAAGAAAACUCCCCACACUUCUUCCUCUGCCGGGGACCAAGUGUUCAAACCAGCUGAUGACUUGAGUCUUAAGUAAACAGACAAUAGGCUGUUUUUAAAGUGGCUGUUUUGUUCUCGAUGAUGCUGGCCUCGGUGCCCAGGCAGCCUCUGCCCACGCCAAGGAGGGAAGGGCCGGCAGCUUGCUAACUUCAUAUCAUCUGCCGCCACGGCCUUCCCAUCUGCUCGGGGGACACGGCCGGACAAUUUUCCACAUAUAAUUGCAGUCCUUUGUAAUUUAGACUGCAACAGAAUCAACAGCUUGAUCAUGACCCCACAGCAGGGAUUUCAAGGACAACACUGCCAUUUUCUGCCCUGACUCAAAACCAAAGCUGGCCUUCCCUUGUGUGUGCCUCCCCCUGCCUGUCCAUCUCAGGGGGUUCUGUUUAUCUGUCUGCCGACCAUGUUUUCUGGCCCUUCACCGUUUCUCUUUGUCCUUUCCCUUUAUCGGGCACCAUAUUUCUGCCCUGCAAAUGCGCUGGUUGUAACCGGACACCUCCCAUAGAUUAUGUCGCCACAAUAGCCAUUGUCAGCUCUCCCUAGCUAAUUGUAGCCCCACCCCACCUCAUCUGGCUGGGGUUAAGAUGGAUGUUCAAUUUGCAUUAUUUAUGUCUUUUGCUCUGUGUUUCAGUGAUGUACUUUUGCAUAACAUAUGUAAAAUUCUGCUGACGUGGAGAAUUCAUCUGGCCCGAGAUGCUCAAAAGAGUUGGGGGCAGAAGGUGGGGGGACUCUGUAAAUUCAAAAGCCGUCAAACAGCUUUGUGCUCAUCUGGUUCUAAGAAAAAGGUGGUGGGGAGUGGAGGAAAAUGUGCUCCUGGAAUUGAAGUCUGUGUGUGUGUGUGUGUGUGUGUGUGUGUGUGUGUGUGUGUGUGUGUGUGUGUGUGUGUGUUAUUCUGGACAGCCUAGUGAGCUCUUUUGUUUAAAGAGCUUAGGUUCUAGUUGAGCUUCAGAAGGUCAAGGCAAGCGAUCCAGGUCUAUGUUAGGCGCAAACGCAAGCCUGUUGCUAUAAUUAACGAGCAUCUGUUUGUAGAGGAAGAAGCAGAGACUUCCUUAACAUUACACAGAGUCAGUAGCAGAGCUGGGGUUCAACCCGGUUGGCCUGACUUAAAAGCCCCAGAUGAAGGGACUAGACUACAGUCCUGGGGAUGAUUACUUACCUCGCGUGUGUGAGGCCCCAGUUUUCAUCUCUACCAGCACGACAAAUAAAUAAAAGGAUUUCGAAGGCAGUUUCUGAUCCAAGCAGUCUGAGCCACAGCCUCUUUGAACGGAUCCGUUUCUCAUCCUGCCCCUCCUGACUCUCAACAUUUCUGCAUCUCCUUAGCAUAGAAUCUCUUGUUGAAAAAAAAAAAAAAGAACAGUUUUAUUUUGGUCACCAUUCCGUCACUGCUUGACCACAUGGGGUGUGCCUCAGUCCCCAAACACCUCCUAGUCAAGUACAGGGAAACAUGUACAGCCCGUGCUAGGCUUGUCACCUUCUGUGAAAAUACAUGUGCGUGCUUGCUUAGACCCUGUGAGCACGCCUUUGUUCUGCUGAGGUGCGUGCGUCAGUAAUCCUGAGGCUUGUCCCCUGACUUCUAGAACUCAGGCUGCCCCAGGCAGAGGUUCUACGGCUCAGGCAGUGGGAUGAUGAUGUGCGUGCUUACUAUAGAAGGAUCCUCUGGACAUGAGACAUUGGAAGUAUUGCUCCAAACCAGAUCUCACACACUCCUUCUUCCUUUUGUCAGCCUGUGCGGAGGACUUGUGUACCCGUAUCUGCACUCCAGCAGGACCCUGCUCUCUUCACUGGUGGCACUCAUUGCUUUUAAUCUUGGCCACACCAAGCUUUGAUUCUGUUCCGUCCAUCUCAUUUCCAUCCAUUCUAUUGCUCAGCUCCACCACCCACUAGGCUAUUCGAUCUAUUAAGCAGUGGGUGAACCUAGGGUAUCGGGAGCUGUCUCUUGGCUAUCGGUGUGCAUUCACUCUUGUGUGGGGAUGACUCUGGCUUUCUUUCGUAGGACCUUGAAAGGAUGCGUGACUUGGGAUACAUCAAUUAGGUCAACUAGAGCAUCCUAUACCAUUUAAGAGUCAGGCACGCACCACCAGCAGUCAUCAGCUGAAGGGGGAAAAAGUGGAGGCUACUUUUACUGCAGAGAAAGAAGGAAGUUUCCAAGGGGACACAUCAGCCAUCAUCAUCGUCAUCAUCAUCACCAUCAUCAUCAUCAUCAUCAUCAUCAUUACCACUACCACCAUCAUUUUGUGUGUAUAUAUGUGUAUAUGUGUGCACAUGUUCAUCCUUGGUAUCUGAGGAGGUCAAGAGAGGGUGUUGGAUCUCCUAGAAUUGCAGUUACACAUAGUUAUGAGCUACCAUGUAAGUGCUAGGAAUUGAAACCAGCCUCUCUGGAAGAGCAAUGUGUUCUCUUAAGCACUGGGUCAUCUCUCUCGCCCUCCCAGCAGCCACCUUGUUACGAUAGAACCUGAGAAUGAGAACAUAUGAGCAGGAUGAAAUCCAAGAGGCAGAGAGACACCAGGUCAGGUCUUGGUGAGGUUGUCUGUAGUGUUCUCCAGUUCAAGCUGCCCCCGGAGCCCUGCCCCUCUCUGUGGCUGGGUUCCCUGUGCCCCCCCUUUUUUUUUGGCCUCUUUGAUUUGUGUCUCUCUUUCAGUGCAGUCCUGAAGCGAGCCUUGGGCUUCACAAACCCGGGCUCUUCCACCUUGCCACACUGACUUAGUGGUCUCAUCUUUGAACUCUCUCCCCCCUCAAGCUGAAGUGCCAAGAAGACAACAUUUCGUCUCCCAGUGAGAUGCUCUUCACAGAGGGUUCACGUGAUUCUCUGUAAGGGAACUAAUGUUUGUCUUGGGCAAAGUAUGCAUUUAGGACAACAGGUAUUCCUGAGAUGUGCCCUGUAGAGAGACUAAUGAGUAAGCCUGUCCCUGUGAGCGCAUCUGCUUCUGCAAAUGUCCUUAUAGUGUUGUGCAUUGAUUCCUUGGUCCCCAUCGUGCCAUGUUAGUAGGCGAUGGAGCCCUUAGGAAGUGGGACCUAGAGGAAGAAGGAAGGCAGGCCAUUGGAGAAGUCCCUGGAGGCAUGAAUGGGGAAUCCCAGGUCUUCCUUGUUUCCCCUUUGCUUCUGAGCUGCCAUAGGAAAGCAGCUUCCUCUUCCUCUGCUCCCAUAUGGAGGAGAAAGUGAGCAAGAGAUGACCUUUAAAGAUGGAAGGACUGAGGCUGGGAGGUCACAAGUUCUUAGCCAGCUUGGGGUGAAGAGUGAGUUUCAGGUCAGCCUGGGCUGCGUGGUGAGAUCCUACCUCAGUGAUAAACACACAAAACAAAAGAGAGCGGGGGAUGUCAGCACUGUAUCCAUCAGUCAUUUCACAGAGACCUUAUUUGAAUUCUGACUGAUUUGAAUAAAAACCUUCUUUCAUCCCAUUAGGAGGCAAAUAUCCAGUAAUUUCUACUUCUCGCUCGAUAUUAUCAUUAAGGUUCAGAAUGGGUUGCCAUUAAACAUCAGCGGUAGAAUUUUAAUACUGAUCAUUUAGGCUUAAUGAGUAAAAAUAUUAAUUUCAGGUUAUAUACAUAUUUUUGUAGCAGGCGAGUAAAAUGGAGUGUUCAAUAAAAGUUUUUAGGCAUAAAAAUACAUUCCGGAGGAUUGAAAUAAUAUGAGAAGAGUAGAAUAUAAAUUAUUCAUUUAUGGAAAUAAGGAAAUACUGUAAAAUUCUGAGAGUUUUUUUUCCUAUACACUUAAGAAAACCAGCAAGUAUGGGAACUGGGAAGACGUCUUGGUGGGCAAUGGGUCGAGGACCAGAAUUUGGAUGCACAGCGUCUGUGUAAACGCCAGAUGGGCACAGUGGCUCGCCUGCAGUUCUAACUGAGGUGAAGACCCUGGAGCAAACUGGCAGGGCAGAGUGCUGAAAUGGCAGCGUCCCGGCUCAAUCGGGAGGUACCGCCUUAAAGAAUACGGUGGAAAUGGAACAAGAAAGACUCGAAAUGUUGGCCUCAGGCCUCCACACACAUACAUGCUCACUAGCAUACACAUGUGUACUCUCACAUGUGUCAACAUACACGCACCACACACACAUGCAGAUACAUGCAAAAAAUAAAAAGCAUCAAAUUGAAUAGAUUCUGUGGCUACAUCUGAAGCAGCCACAAAAGGUUUUAAUGUCAGUACCCAAAACAUGGUACAAUAAAAUUAUGUCCAGAAUAGCUGUUACAACUCAUGAUUUAAAAAAAUGUAGAUUCUAAGCUGAAAUUAGGACAUCGUACAUGGUUUCAAAUCUUCCCGGGGCUACAGAAACACGUUUGGAAAUGCCUGCUGACUUUACCUCUGUCAAUACGUCUUCAUUUAAACACACUUUUCACCCUACAACUACCAGCAUAUAUGAUUCUGGUCACCUGUGACCCAGCCACAGUCUGAAAGCAUCAAUGGAAAAGUCUCUGAGCAGUUUAUAGGUUUCAGAUUGUAAACCCUCUGGAUCGCCUGGUGGGAUCUCACAGCACCCGCCUCCUGCCUAGAACGGGAAUCCUCUUUAUCCAGUGUUUCCACUCUCAUUAGCUACACAGUCGUCGUGAUUAUUAAUCAGACUGUAUUUGAGCAGUGCUGUAUUCAAGAAACCCCUGUUUAACAACCUCAGAGUUCAUGAGUCACGGUGGUGCAGAGAAAGUCUCAGGACAUCAAACAAAGAAGUAAGUGUCUGCUGCCCUGAGUCAGUGCUGCAGGGCACAUAGGAAAACAUAGUGGAGAGGAUUUGGUACUAUUGUGACUUUAGACUUCCAUGGGGAUCUUUGAAGGCGUCCUCUGCAAAUAAGAGGGGUGACUCUUCUCACCCACACUCUUCCAAAUGCAUUGCAUAAAACCAAAUUUAGAUAACUCCAAAGCCUCCAAUGGUUGCAGUGUGGUGCACUGAGAAAUAUGGGCUUCUAGGCAUCACUGGCUGCCAUUGUUGUUGAUCUGUUGAAAUCACUGAGUAGAUGCUGGGUUCAACUGCCACUGUGAGGACCUAGGAAAGCACCACUGGAGGCUCACACACUUCUGGUUACAAAGCUUAAUAAUGAUGGUCAGCUGACAUGCCUGGAGAUAGGGAGUGAAAUCCUUGCCAUGUUCUUGCAGAAACAAAUGUUCGGAAGAGCAUCGGAGGCAAGGCUUGAAUGUCAAGGGUACACACCGUUACAAACCUCUCACUCUGCUCUCGACACAGCACCUGGGCUUUCUGUGGCCCCAUGAGAAGUUGAAGAGGCUGUGCCACGAGGGGGUUAGAGGACGUGCCCUGUCAAACUCAAGGGUCACUCUGGGUCCCUUCACUUUCAAAUGCUCUGCAGAUUUUGUCUUCAGACUUCAGCUGGGAGAGAUUUACCAGCAGCAAUCUGACCAGCUCUGCCAGGCACAGUUAGCUAGAUUUUGGGAGGAAGCCUUAAAAGAUAACACUAAUAACACCCAUAUCCAUCACUGAGAAAAAACACAAAGUUACAAGCUGCUCCUCUGAGCUCUUGGGUACAAAGUCCCAUGCGUCUGCUGUUCUCUGCUGCGUAAACGGUGCUUCUGGGAAGCCCAGGUGGCUUGUUGAAGGCACAUUGUACUCUGUUAUGUAUUUCUACACACUUGCCAUUUUCAACCUAUAUUCCCGUCCACGUAUUCUUACACACUUUAGUUUGAUUCUUGCACAAAGUAGCGUCUUGAGAGGUGAGUCCUCUUUGGGCUACAAGCUGGAGUGUGAGCUCUUUCCACCCCUUCCCAAAUGCUGUGCUAGACCUGGCUCCUAAGGUGCUAUGCUGUCUGAAAGACAGCUUUUCUGUUUGCGUUUUGUGGUUAGCAAUCAGUAGCCCACCCUUUCCCCCGGUGAUUACCUAUGAUGUCUAGGAGGGACCUGGAGGAGCAUCAGUCCUCUCUGGCUUAUGGGUGGCUCUUCUAGUUUUAGUAACCAACUUCUUGGAACAAAUCAGUUUGCAGACAACUCAGCACCACCUUCAACUCCCUGACCUGGUGCACCUUCUGGGAGAACUCGUUGGCCACCACCAUCGCACCCAGAAGUUAGACUAAAAUGUGGCAGGAAGGAGUGUGUCCUUCAGUCACUACCUGGGAGUGAUGGGUAACCACACUUAACCACAGUCCCUGCAAAUGAAGGCAUACAAGGAACCAUCUGCACUGUGUGAAAACUCACCGUCUGUACAUGCCCAUUAAAAAGCAAAGCCUAGAUAUCUUGUCAAGCAUAUUUUUUCUGCCUAGUUCUUAGACCAUCAUAUCUUAAGGCUUUAAGGUCUCUGCUUACAAACAAAUGUACCGCUCUCUCCUGGUGACACGAACACAUGUGUGGUAGAUCUGAAAUUCAAAUUGUACUGGGUGUUUGUACCGUAUCUGACAGUCUUAUCCCCUAACGGCCAUUGCUGGUGAUUCACGAAGCAUUUUAUGGUUAUGACUUCUUCUGAUCAAAGGGAUUUCAAGAACUAACUACCUAGUAACGAUAGCAGCUCUGGACUGGGCAGCCUAUCAAAGACGCUCGAGAGGACCUCCCAGCAUCUCAGCAGUCAUAACACAGACAGAGGCCUACGUGUCUCUGCGGAAGGAGACCCUACUCGGUCACCAGAGAGAAGAGUCGGCCAGCAACAAAGCGAAAACUCAUCAAGGAACAACCCAUCUUCGAGGCUCAGGGGACACUGUGUGCUCAGUCUCUGUACUAGGUCACCCAGUACCAACCUUGAGGAACGCUGGCCAGAGGUUUUCCUCCCCAACCUCUGAGAGAGUGGAGACCGAGACCUUAGUUUGGCAUUUUGGAAACAAUAAUGUCAGCCAAGAGGUGCUAGUUAUUUUCCGUUUUCUUCCCCUUGUAUCUCAGCCAGGACUUUCACCUGGUUUCUCAUAAAGCAAGCUAAUAUUUAUAGGUGGGAAACGGUGCCGGGCACCUUGAUAAGCUCAAAGCAGCACUUAAAUAUGUGUGUGGACCACUUAAUCACAAGAUCUGGGAUAUAUAGACACGUCACAUACCAUCCCCCUCCUGCAUUUGGGGCCUCAAAACUUGAUCCAAGUCUGGGAGUUAAAAAGUCCCAUUUUGUGUAAUCAGGUUCUAGUUGAACAUGAUUGCUGAAUUAUUUUAAAUUGAAGACACAUGUCUGGGGGUUGAGCUCUCCAUAUUAUUUCAGGAUGGUGUCCAUUAGGUCUUAUCCACAGGGGCUAUCUUCAACUUUUGCCUCGUUCAAUGCAUUCUUCAGACAUCAGCAUUUGCAAAAUAGUGAAUCAUAUAUAACGGAAAACUGGAGGAAUGUGGUCCUUGUUAAAGGGUAAUUUUUUUUCUCCUGAAAUUAUCUUGAAUGCAUUAUUCAGACCCAAUUCUAGUCUCCCCUGCUGAGAGUCCCGGUACUUGUUGGAAAAGUUCUAGUUGGGGGGGGGGGGUGUUUUACAGACAGUAACAUUGCAUAAAUAAAUACGACCAUGCGGCCAUUGUGCAUGGGCCUUGUGCGAUGCUAUGUCUUCAAAGACUUUACAACUGAGUCAACAUUUGUGUGAACUUCUUCCCGGUCCCAAACACUUUAAAUGUGUCUUAAUUGCAGACCUAAAUUGCUGCCACGGCUUGUCGCCAAAUGUGUUUGUCCCUGAAUCAAGGUCCCGCCAGACUUCACCUUGUAAGGGUAAACUGCUUCAUCAGCAAGGCCACUGCCCUGAUUUGAAGGUCACUUGCUUCCCGUUGGGGGACAGUUAGGAUGAGGGGACCUGAAGGACUGAGCCAAGUGGGUGUCCAAGUACUCCAAAGAUGUCUUCCGUGCUGGGCGAUGGGGCAUCUGAUGGGGCGAUGCUCUUUGUAACGCACGGACCAGACAAUUUACACAACAUAGCUGGGUCAAUAACUUGUAGUGAACUUAAAGAGUGGGGAAGCCACAAUAUCUGUCUGUUUAGAUCAUCUGCAUCACCCCCAAAAGGAAACCUCACACUCACUUAUAAUCCCCUAACUCCCUUGAUAACCACCAAUCUGCUUUCUGUUUCUUGUUUCCCUUGUAGGGCAUUCCACAGAAGUGGAAUCACUCAGACUGUGGUCUGUUUUGUCUGGCUUUUUUCACUUAACAUAACCUUUUUUUUUAAUUUGUUCACUUUACAUCUCACUCACUGCCUGGUGUCAGCCACCCCUCACAACUCUUCCCCCAACCGCCUUCUAUGAGCAGGUGGAGGCCCCUGGGUAUCCCUGCCCCGCACCCCCUGGCAUAUCAAGUCUCUGUGUGGCUAGGCACAUUCUCUUCCACCAAGCCAGACAAGGCAGCCCAGCUAGAAGACCAUAUUCCAUGUACAGGCAACAGCUUUUAGGGUAGCCCCGAUCCAGUUGUUCCAGACCCACAUGAAGGCCAAGCUGAACAUCAUCUACAUGCGUGUGACGAGGCCUAGGUCUAGCCUGUGUAUGUUCUCCCUUUGGUUGGUGGUUCAGUCUCUGACAGCCUCAAUAGUCCAGGUUAGUUGAGUUGUCCUGUAGAGUUCCUACUCUCUUCUGGGCCCACAAUCCUUCCUCCUCUUCUUCCAUAAGAGUCUCCAUCCACUGUUUGACUUUGGGUGUCCGCAUCUGUCUGAGUCAGCUGCUAGGGUGGAGACUCUCAGGGGACAGCCACUUAGCAUAACCUUUUAAGAGUGGUCCACAUUCCAAAUGUCACCACUUUGUCUUCAUUGCUGGGCACCAGUUCAUUGAGUAAGAGUAAGACAUUUAGUUCACCUAGGCGUCCACUGACAAUCUAUCUGUGCUGCUCUUCCUUUGUCGAGACUGUGAAGGAUGCUGUGUGAACAUCUCUGUAGAAAGUAGGUCAACUUGAGGUAGGAUGUCUAUUGUCAUCCAACCAUAAUCCUUAAGCUACAUUUAAUUUGUUUAAAUUCAUUACUUAGGUUCUUCUUAAAGCUGCCUAUCGGGUAAGAACAUCCCAGAAUAAAGUGGUUCCAUGAAGAUCUCAAGAAACAACUUUUCAACCAGGGUGAGAGCAUUAGUGAUUCCAGGGCAUGACUGUUUAAAAACCGAGAGAAGGAAUCUUUGGGAGGAAGUCUCUAGACCAAGAAACCUUGAAGAGCCUCAGAGUCCCUUCUGUGGCCAUCACAGGCUGCACUUCCCAGCACUUAAACCCACCUGCACCCCACCAUGCAAAUACUCCUCUGGCAGGCGGGCACAUGCUGCCUGGUGCCCGGAAGUCCUGCUGACUUGAAUAACAGGAGGCUGCUCGGGGAGAAGCCAAGUUGGAAAUGGCAGGAGAGGUGACAGGGUCACAACACGGGAACAGAGUUGUCGGGCUUUGUUUAUUUCCAUUUUCCACAGCCUUGGCAGCCGAUAGGAGGAUUGGCAGCCCUGUCAUCAAGAAAUGAGCUUUCUACCUGUUGGGAUCCAGCAAGAUCACAAAAGGGCCUUACAUACGGCCCCAGUCAUCCGUGUAGGGCCAGGAAAAGGAAUCUCACAGCAUGAGAAAGCCCUCCGAGGGGACGGUGGUGGGAAACCAGCACAUGGAAAGAAGCAGGAUUCAGAUCUACACCAAAGCACAGCACCUCAUUGACUUUGCUGUGACCCCCACUAUGACCUUGAUUGGGUCACUGAUCUCUCUGGGUCUUGAUUUCCUUCUUAAAAAUCGAAGGAGAGGUUGUCAGGAUUCUUGCCUGAGUUUUUUUUUUCCCCACAUCCUCUAUUCUGUAUCUCUGAUGCCUUUUGAAAUUUUACUCUUCUGAAGCACACACUGAGAUUUUAAAGCAGCAUCAUUGACUUCAAGCAAUCAGCCCACGGAUACCAAGGGACGCAGUCUGGAACAGCGACUGGUGAAUAAUUAGCAUUUGGGAGACAUCUUUUUUUUAAUGCCACCCCGUGUCCCAGUGGCAAGCAUUUUGCAGAUGGAAAAUUUUUGUUGUCGCUUUUUCUACCCAUCCGCUUGCAGGUUGUUUAGCCCCUUAGUGUCAGAGGUGGGAAUUGGACCUGCAUUUUAGGGCUUUCAGACCUUUAUUGUGUCAAUUAAUACGAAUUGCCUGAGAACAGAGAAAAUAAUCGCUGGAGAGUGGUGUGACUCAGGUACUGCCAGGAAGUCUGACUCAUUGGCCAAAUGUGACAUCUUGUUUCUUCCUGGUUUUAUCAUCUGGCUUGGGCUCUUCAGGGACCAUGCGAACACACUGGAGGAAGACGAGGAUGGGCAGUCUUAGCAGGAUGAUGACGAGACUGCUGAUCUUCUCUCGAGAAUAAAGAGUGUUCUGGAUGAGAAGACUGACAAGACAUCCCCCCUUCGCCUUUGAGGCCUAUGUCCUCUCUCUCCCAUGGAGCCAUGAGGCAGCUCCCUUCCAGCUCACAGAAACACAGGCCAACUCUUGAGAGCUUAACGUGUUUCCAUUACAAUGGUGAGGUGCAUCUCUACCCAGCAGUCUACUUCGUGUGGUAAGAGGCAGCUGUAGAGUUCACGAGCAUGCCUACUCCUUUGAACUGCACGCAGAGCACUCCAGAGCCCUGGUAUUCUGCCCGUAUUCCAAAGUCAGUGACUAGCCUCGUAGUUGAAAGAAAUCAGGGGACAGAUGGUAGGAAAGCAGAAUUGUAGAAUGACUACCUUCUCCCAAAUGCUGGCCUAUUGUUCUGAUGAAUCUCCGCAAAGCGCCAUGGAGCAGGCGCUGGGCUUGGUGGAGGUCCACAACUGAACCGCCGAUGCUCAAACAUCAGGGCUGGUGGAGGGGAGGCAGUUAAGAGAAAAGAUCACUGGCAUUUUGGGGUCCCUCCCUGACAGUUAGAACCACACAUCUUUGAAGACACAGAAAAACAACAACAACAACCCAGUAAGGCACAUUUCCACGGACACACCAAUCUGCUAUUGAAAGAAAAUCCUGUAUCAGAGAGAAUUAAUUCCCCCUUUGGAUAGGCAGCCUGAUAUUUAAUAAAACAAUAAAAAGUAACUUCAAACUUUUCUUUUCUCUAAUAAUUUUCCCUUUGAGUUUAGCUAUAAGGCUAUUCUGUAGAAAAAGCCACUAGCAUCGUAGGAAGAUCCUGACAUCUUCCUUUGAUUUUUUUCUUCUGUUUAGGUAUCGGACAACUUUCUUUGCUUUAUUUUCCACUUGUGAAAUAGAAGUGGCCAGGAUUAAUCUGGCAAGCCAAGCACUGGUUAUCCUGGCUGAGUUCCCGCCAGAGCACCUAAGUGGCUAUGGGAUAAAGUGAUACAGGAGGGAACUCCUGGGGCCCCUGUGGGCUGGUGCUGAUUCCAGGCACAAUGUACACAAUGCUGAGCCCUCCUCCCACCAGCCCAGCUCUCAGAACGCCAGCAUCCGAGUAUGGAGCAAUCAGGCUGCCUCAGCUGGCUCCCGUUCCUUGCCUACUGCUGUUAGCUUAUUCAAAGGCAAAGAAUUAUAUUUCCUCUCUCCCUGAAUAUUUCAAAACAGUGCAAAUAAUGUAUAAGUCCAUAAACGCAGGAGUGCUCUGGAUUCUUCAAAGAUUAAUUUUGAGAAAAGAAAAACAAAAAAGCACAUCACAUCUCUCCAGCCUCCCGUUCGGAAAGGCAGACACAGCGGGCUAAAGCAUGUACAUCUUAUCCUAACCCACUGUCAUCCGAAUGCAGAAAAGUGGAGGAUUUGGAGGUUGGUAGUUUGUGUUUAAAAAUCCCUGCUCUGCAGCUUUAUGUCUCUAUGAAAAAGAGCUCAGCUUCGUUCAUUAUCUGUGCAAAUCGGCUUGCUCACCUCAGGAACAGUGACUUUGCAGAAUCGUGAAACAUAAAUGUUUCAUUGUUUUUCAAACAGGAAAGUCUGAGUUGAAAGGUAGUUACUAUUAACUCUUGGGGGCAGGUCAGAAAGUCACCAAAGCAUCUGGAAAAGGGUCGUCAUCUGUUGUCAGGGCUGUCACUCGGGGGCGAUGCAGAGACAGGAACCAGGAAAGCGAGAGGCACCCUCGUUUGAAGACCUUCUUUCUCUGUAGCUCUCAGCAAUCUUACCUCGGAAAUGUCCCCACUUCUUGAGCAGGUUUCCAUAUGCUUUCGGAUCAGGGAAACAGUGCUGUCAGAGGAACCUCAAACCAUUAGAGAAAAAUCUUCCUGCCACCUUUUCUCUUCCAGCACCUUCCCUUAGAGCUUAGGCUCCCC